rnacentral:tRNA from 1 species
GAGCUAUGAGCUCGACAUAUAACAGUAGAGCUCUGUCUUCACACGGCAGAGGUCGGCAGUUCGAGCCUGCCAUCGCCCA